rnacentral:rRNA from 1 species
UACGAAGGGGGCUAGCGUUGCUCGGAUUUACUGGGCGUAAAGGGCGCGUAGGCGGCCUUGCAAGUGACGGGUGAAAUCCCUCGGCUUAACCGAGGAACUGCCUGUCAAACUGCGUGGCUUGAGACCAGGAGAGGUGAGUGGAAUUCCCAGUGUAGCGGUGAAAUGCGUAGAUAUUGGGAGGAACACCAGUGGCGAAGGCGGCUCACUGGACUGGUACUGACGCUGAUGCGCGAAAGCUAGGGGAGCGAACAGG